GCCGCGGGGCUGCGGCCGAGGAGGCGAGGACCCAGACGCCCAGAGCUGGCGCUUCCUGUCUCUCUGCGCCAGCCUCGGCCUGCGGCGGGGUAGAGCGCCGGAAACGGCUUUAGCGGCUUUGGGAAUUGCGGGCGAAAGUUAAACGGAGAGAUCUUAGAGAUUUGCCCGCAAAUCGAAACAAAACUGCCCCUACUAACUCUGUGCCAACCUGUGCACCGUCUCACUGUGAACCCCUGAAAAUGCCUUUCUGGAGAAGGUUUUAAAUUAUUAGUAAUUAUUUGUGGAGACGGGAUCUCACUGUGAUUCCCAGGCUGGUCUCCAACUCCCAGCAUCAAAGUGAUCCUCCCGCCGUGGCCUCCCAUAUGUG
rnacentral:lncRNA from 10 species